CAUGUUACGACACACAUCGGGUCUGUGCGACAUAUUGCAGAUGGUUUUCAUGUAAUUGUUGAGAAAAUCGCAAGAAAAAAUGCCUGCAUGUGCCGCAGUGAAAUGCACCAACCGCCAGGUCAAAGGCUGUGGACGGACAUUUCACCUAUUUCCCUUCAGCCGUCCAAGUGUGCUUCAAGAGUGGCUGGCGACCAUGAGGAGAGACAAGUGGACACCAAGCCGUAGGUCAGUCCUUUGUUCAGACCAUUUUGAAGCAGAGUGCUUUGACCGUACCGGCCAAACGACCCGCCUUAAGGAAGAUGCCGUCCCAACCAUUUUCAAGUUUUCAAAGCGUCUGCAGAAGAACAAUCAUAUUGAUGUGCUGGGGGUCACUUUUCUCCAUUGUGGAACCAAAUAUCCUACUUCCUGAGAUUGCGUUACGUCCAAAAGCUGAAACAUGCAGGCAUCACAGGUCAGGCGAUCAGCCAGAAAGCUACAAAAGGAGAGGAACACUACACAACAGACUUCUGAUCCGAAGGCUGAAGUUACCCCGGCGAAGCCAGUGUCACCCAGUUCGUCCCACGUCUAUGUAGAUCACUGCUAUUCUACAAUGCAAAGUCUAAAGACGGUAAAGGGAAGGCUUGAUGUAGCCGUUGACCAAAUUGAUAUUCUCCAGAAGAAGGUAAAGUUCUUGCAACAGAAGUCACGUCGCCUGAGUAAGAAGGUGACCUUUCUGCAGGAAGCUGUAGACACUCUAAGAAACCAGAAGCUUGUUUCUACCAAAAGAACGAGGAUGCGUUCGAAGAGUUUUUCCUAAUGUCCCUGCAGAGGUGAUGAAGAGACUCUUGGCAAACAAAGCCAGCAGAAAGCCGAGUCGGAAGUCUUGUCCACAUGACUGUGAGAAUAAAGUGAAAAUGGCAAAUAAAGUGAGAAAAUAAUCCUGUUUCGACAACCGUCGUAAAUGGAAAGGAAGAAGGAUACACUGUAUAAGAGAGAAACUAAAAUAAUCUCAGUAAAAAUAAUUACAGGCGUCAAAGAGCUGUUCAAAAAAUGAUCAGAGACUGAACUGGAAAAGGGAAAAACCAACAAUGAAGCGGAGUGCGAUAAAGAUAUGUGAGGAAUGUGGGUAAAUAAAGUUGAGGAAAAUAAGAGGAGGUAAUUGGGGGAGUCAUAAAAUACUUUCCUUGGGCCAAAUUUGAUCAGCUAUGACGGUUUAACAUGUAAACCAAGUACACGCGUCUGCAGAACGAUGAGUGUGGGCGGGGCGGCGCAAGAUGGUGGCCAAAGAAGACACACAUUUUCAUCCCCCACGAACAUUUUCUAAACAUUAUGGAAGCCAUGUCUACUUUGUAAUAUUUCAGUACAUCUCCCUGCUUAGCUUCACAAAAGAAAGUGCCUUAAACUCGACGGUUCCAUCCAGAGAUCAGAUGAACUCAAAGCUAAUACUCGCGUUCUACAAAACCGGACUCCUGAGAACAUGCCCCCUCCUGAGCACGGUAUUAAACGUAAGAAUAAAGAAAAAAUGCUCAACACCAAACGAGCUUCGCCUAAAGGUGUGAAGACGACGACUUUGACGCUCUCUGAUACACAGGCUCACUCUGCAACCACUGUUUACACCGUCUCGGAGGACGCGUACUGCAGCACUAAAGAUCGCUGCCAGAGUCUAGCCCCAAUACCCCAGCUAGAUCAGAUGAGGAAAGGACGAAAGGUGACUUGACACUUAAUGAUUUACAAAACGACAUGGCUGCCAUUAUCCAUGGAUGCUCUGGUGAUCUGGAGAGCAUGAUAAACCACAAAAUAGUCAGCAUUGAUGCUUAAAAAAAACUAUUGAUUUCGUGUUUCGAGAGAUCGAAACCCUGAAAACUGACAUGAGAUCAGUGAAGACCACAAAUGAAAAUAAUGUCAAGAUGCUGUCAGAGGUGGAAAUGAAAAUUGACGAGGCAGAGAGACACCAGCAAAGAUGGAACCUCGGGCUCUGUGGCAUCCCCGAAGACAAAGAAGAAAAUAUCAAAGCUAAAGUUACCGAUAUUUGCUAUGCUGUUGUCGGGGAGAGCCAGGGAAAAAGAAUUAGAGAAGAUAUUGACAUCGUUCACCGCCAAGAACGACCAUCAUCCGCUUCUGCAGCAGAACAACACGAGACCUAGUAUGGAGAAAGGCAGAGGGAUGCAAUGUUCUCCCAGAACGCGACCUGAGGUUUACAGAGGCUCUCACUGCUCUCCGGGAGAAACUCUGGCUGCUGAUCGAUGCGGGAAAGAAAGCACACUUGGCUGGAGUUUGUGUAAUAAUGGAGGGGAAAGAUGUUCGUCCAUCACCAUCUCUGUUUGAAGAACAACAUGCACAGAUGGACACCUGAAGAAAGAACGUACCAUCAGUGCUCCCUGUUUGCGCGGACUGCUCAUUGCGCAUUCUGCUCUCAGGAACAAUGUCAUUUAUUGCACUUGUACCUGGGAGAUCAUUGUUAUACCGUUCCAGUUGAUGUUACUCUGAACUUGAUGGGGGAUGGAUAUUGUUUACUUUGUUUGCAGUCAUUUUUACAUCAUCUUUCAGUUAUUUCUCUCAAUGUCAGGAGUUUACGGCAAAAUAUUAAACAUAAAGCUUUGUUUUUAUUUGCCAAACAACAGAAAUCUGACUUUUUUUUUUCUUUUUCCAGGAGUCACAUUCCGUGGUAAAUGACGCUUCCUUUUGGAAAGCCCAGUGGGGAAAUGAUAUGGUUCAGAGAAAUUGACAGGGGUUUGCUAUCCUUAAAAACACCUUUAAUGGGAAUAUUUUGCACUCAGAACCUGGCCCUAAUGGCCGACAUGUUAUUCGUUCUUAACACAAAUAACAACAUUCUCCUUCUGGCCAACAUUUAUGGCCAUAACUCCAAACUCGAAAAUUACUUUUUUGACUUGAUCUCCUCGAAUCCUGUUUUACACCUUGGUUAUCCAGAUACCCAAACCUCAUCCUUUUUAUGGGUGGAAAUUUCAACAUCGCUUUAGAUGGCCUGUCAUGCACACCUUUAACUUGAUAGACAUAUGGAGGGGGGAAACUCCUAAUAUAAAAUCUUUUCCAUGGCGUAAUAAAACCUGCACCUCUGUGUCACGCAUAGAUUAUUGGUUAAUUUCUGACUGAACGAAUAGGAGUAAUAUUUUUGAUAAAAGUGCAUAUUCUGAACCAAUUUCGCGUUUUUUUUAAAUGAAAGUACGUCCCUUUACACACUCAUCCAGAAGGGUAAUUUUGCACAAGGCCAUCUGUCUACAGCAGAAAAAAAUAAUAACAAAACGCGUCUGGAAAAAUCCCAAGGGAGUCUGGAGCCAGAUUCGUGACGUCACCUGCGGAAGCGCCAGCAGGCUGCGCGAGCUUUGCACGGUUUCAGUGCACAGCCUGUGUAGACCAAGCGCUCCCGUUUCUCUCUCAUUGUCCGGUCUUUUGGAAAACGAUGAGUACUAAUCCCAUCAAGAUUGGUGUUGCUACACCCUCCUACGAUACAUCUGUUAACCAUUUUAAUAAUUAUGCGAUAACGUUGAAGAAAUUUGCAGAAAACCACCAGGUCAUUUUCUCAUAAACAAACCAGCGCUGGCAUAGGAUUCAGAAGGAGGCGUCUCGCAUGCGACGCCACGAAAAUCAAUGUUUCCUGGGAAAUCCAAAUGCCGAGUUUUUCCAAGGCGGACCAAUUCGCCUCGAAUGGCUUGAUUUCAACUGAAUUGUUCAGGUGUUGCACAAGGUAAAAAAAAACUGCACAAAAUGUGACAGAUAUUUGACCAAAGUUUAAUAUAAAAUAGAAUUACAUUGAUCUUGCUCCUGAAUUUACCCGUGAUAUGCACUUUUAAUGUAUCAACAACUCCCUUAACAGACCGCAGGGCCGUGUCCCUCUUAAUCUCGUUUAGUCCUAACUUCACUCAUGUAUGCAGAGGCUCUUAUUGGAAACUAAAUAACUCUGUUUUAAAGCAUGAUUUGGUUUUUAAGAAGGUUCAAAGUUUGAGAAAAUGCUUUUGGAGCAGAACUUUAAUUGAUAAAUGCUUUGGCAGAAAUUGGGAACUUUUUCAAAUUUGAGGUGAGUAAAUUUCUGAGAGAAUGCGGAUCCUUUUUAUCCCCCUUUGGCCGAAAGGCCAGAAGGGGGAUUAUGUUGUGGCGAAGUCCGUGUGUCUGUCCGUCCAUCCCGGAAAGGGUUCUCACCUUCUGAAAUCAACUCCUCUCACAAUUUUUAAGGAAUUUCACGAAACUUGGCAAAAGGCUUUGUUAUAGGACAGUAAUACACACAUGUAUUGCAAAUUUGUUUGCAAUAUAUUGUGCUCUCGGCGCACUCUUGUUAUGAUCUAAAUCCAGAAAAAUGAAGAAACAAAGAUGACUACUAAAAUAACUGCUCUCGCUCAAAUUACACCUGAAAACUUAUCAGAAUGUCAUAAACAAGCAUUAAUUUUCCAACAGAAUAAACUGGAUGAUGUGUAUAGAAUGAAAGCAGAGGGUGCAUUUGCGAGAUCAAGAAGAAAAUGGUUGGAAGAAGGGGACCAAAACAAAAUGCCACUUUUUUUAUUUUCUCAGAUGAGAAAAAUCUCGGAGUAAAAUCAACUCAAUCCAAAAACAAUAUAAAUGGAACCGUUACUGAUGAUCCUGUUAAGAGAGCUAAUUACUGUUCUUUUUAUACAAAUCUAUACGACUCGCAGGAUAAUGAAAUGGCAGCUAAUGAUUUUUUUAAACAUCUCACUGAAACAAAAUCCAUCCAAACUGAUUUAAAAAAAAAAGUUUGUGAUACCCCAAUAACCUCAAAGGAAGUCUUGUUUGCCAUUCACCACUUAAAACUUAACAGAUCUCCAGGGGUAGAUGGCUUGACCGGAGUUUUAUUUAUCCUCCUUUCUCCAUGGUUUAUUUCCAGAAACCAUUGAAAACCAAAGUCUCCCUCCCUCCUACCGUGUCUCAAGGACUCCUAAUCCUUAUUCCAAAACCUAAAAAAGAUCCACUUCACCUUGACAACUGGUGACCUAUCUGCUUUCUUAAUAAUGAUUAGAAAAUUCGAGCCCAAAUAUUUGCAAAAAGAAUAAAAAUUGUUUUUGACCACAUUACUGAUGAAACCCAAGUUGGCUUGAUGAGUAACAGACGCAUAUCCAGUAACAUUAGGCUUGUCUUCGACCUCAUUGACCAUGCUGAUCUCUGCAACAACAAUAGUUUUCUUCUAUUUAUAGAUUUCUAUAAGGAGUUUGAUGCAGUCGAACACGAAUUUAUAUUUCUAGCCUUCGAAAAAUUUGGCUUUGGCCCUUAUUUUUGUACAGCUAUUAAAACUAUAUGUAUAAAAAUGCUAAUUGUUCAGUUAGACUUCAUGCAGACAGACACCUCUCUUGUGCCUCAGUCACAACCGGCCGUACGUGCUCUUACGGCCGGUCUACGUGUAAGAAACGCACGGAGGGCGCGCGUGUGACGUGCUGAUUUUCGAGCCGUAGACUGGCCGCAGAGGUUCUUUGUCAUGUCAAACAAACUUUACGGGCGCUUACGUUUUUUUCAGGUUGCAAGACAAACUUACGGCCAACGUGCGUCUUUCUCCACGAACAAAAAAAACGCAGCGAUUUGGGGAAACGCCAAAAAUCGCACAGCCAAAAAAAUCGUACGUCCGGUUGUGACCUAGGCUUUAGAUUUAAUCCAAAUCGUGGCGUUAGACAGGGCUGUCCAGUCUUGCCGUACUUGUUCCUGAUUUGUGCUCGACUGCUUUCUCAUUACAUUAAACUUAAUCCCUUGAAAGGUAUCGCAGUCAACCAGCUUGCUGAUGACACUAUUUUAUUUUUAAAAGAUGCUUCACAAGUAGCUAUUGAAACAAUUAAAACCUUUUCUAAUGCCUCUGGUCUUUGUUUGAACAUCAACAAGUGUUACCUUAUAAGUAUUACCUCUAUCUCUAACAUUCCUGUGAAAGAUUCAGUUACUUACCUUGGAAUUGCCAUCAACAAAAACCCCAAGACUCGAGAUGCCUUUUGAAUUUCGACCCCAUCUUUGGAAAGGUGCAAAAAAACCUUUAACUCAUGGCUUUCAAGAGCUUUAUCCCUCAAGAGUUUUAUUGAGCAAAGCAGCGAGCAUAGCCUUACCUCUACAUGUCAGCAAGCGGACCUCUAAUGCCGUUGAUAAAAUGCUUUAAGUCUGUAUAGAAAAACAAAAUGCACUAUUUUAGAAAAUCAGUCUUUAUGAGCUCAUGAACUUCCUUGAAUUUUCCACUUUCAAAAUCAACCGGCUAAAACAAUUUCUUAAAACUCCUCAAUUUGGAAUUGGACUUCAAUUUUGAACUUUACUCCCAAUUACAUUUUUUUUUUCAAAACUUCGAGGUGUCAAAUUUAUUCUACUAUGCAGCUAUGAUAUUAAUAAAAUCCCCCUGAAGUUAUCAAAUUUCCAAAAACAAAUGCUUCGUUCUUGGUCUUUAAUUUACAAGCACAAUUUUUUUUCCCCUCACAGAUACGAUAUCUGGAACAAUAGAGACCCAUCAACACACAUCGUUAUUCUUGGAGACCCGGUUUGCCCAUGGUAUUUCUCUGGUUACUCAACUCCUCGAUUCUAGUGGUAUGUUAAUGUCGUAGUCUGAAUUUUUCUAAACCAAUAUUUAACAGUUAUUCCACGAAAUCGAGUCGGACAUGAGCUGAUAGACGACGAGGCGCGUAGCACCGAGUUGUCUAUAAGCCAUGUACGAUGAGAUUGAGUGAGUGGAAUAACUGUUUUAUUCUAUCCAUGUUCACUGGAUUUUGAGAAACGGCAUAUUUAUUUUUUGCAAAUUCAAUAAAUAAAAACUUUUUAUACAAAACGUUGGACAAAGUCAUUUCAGCUUAGAAUGUAAACAAACCGGCGAAGUGACGGUAGCGAUUUGUGAAAAAUGCGAUAAUAGUUAUUACCGUCAAAUACUUUAAUUCCAUAUUUUGCUGCUUUUAUUUUUGGGGGUUUUCUUCUUUAGGGUUUUUUAGCGGUUGGCAAACCAACUUAAAGGUGCGUUAUCGCCACCGACUGGGCUGGAGUGUGGAACAGGAGCUAUUGGGGGGGGGGACUAUAUUCUUUUAGCUAUUUCUGUUUCUUUUAAAUACUUGACACACUUUUGAGGUUUUGUUUUUGAGUAGUUUUUAUUUCAUCCUCAGUUGGUUCAGCAACACAGUCUGCCUUUUUGUUUUUCUCUACUCAUGGUAUACAAGCUGAUAGCCUAGUAGAGCUACCUAAUAGAGUAGCCAAUCAGAGCGCAUGAUUGCUCAUAUCCAGUGAAUGUGGAUAGAAUAUAAACAAGUAUACCUGUACCACCAAGGGAAUACGCCCUAGUUUUUGACGCAAUCCCUUGUGGUGUCAUCUUGCUUUUUUAGAAACUCGGUCCCUUCUGUAUUGUCCCCGUUACCACUAGAUCCUACUGUUACUGAUGUUAGCUGGUUCUGUUUCUCCUCAAGGAAAAAAAAAAUUAUAAAAAUAUUAUUCGUGGUCUAUUUCAAAAAGAAAUUGUCCCUUUCAAAUAUCUCCUACUGGAAUAACAUCAGAUCUGAACUGGAAAAAAAAAUUUGGAGUCUUCCCUCUCAAUAGGAUUAUGAAUAAGAUCAAAGCAGUGACUUUCAAAAUGAUUCAUCGCAUUUAUCCCACCAAGGUUUUUCUCUCUUCUUCUUUAGUGUUCUGCCUGACGGCAGGUCAGAAGGAUUACAGUAGUGGCUUCCCGUUGCCUUCUACUGGAUUAUCAGAGGUUUUCUCCUCUCAACCAUUCACACACGCGGGCAAUUUAGAGCCACCAAUUAGCCUAGCCUGCAUGUCUUUGGACUGUGGGGGAAACCCACGCAGACACGGGGAGAACAUGCAGACUCCACACAGAAAGGCCUCCGUUGGCCACUGGGCUUGAACCUAGAACCUUCUUGCUCUGUGCCACCCCAAGGUUUUUCUACAAAGAUACAAAAAAAGACAUCAAUGUGAAUUGCUCUUUUUGUCGACUGGCUUGUGAAAAUAUCAAACAUUUUUUAUUUUGGUUGUGUCCCUGCUCUUCUGUUUUGGUGACAUGUUUGUGCAUUUAUUUCCUAAAAUAUUGAUGGUCAUUUCUCAUUAACCUAUGAAAAUUUUUGAGGUUUUUUUUUUGGGGGGGGCUUUUUUCACCUUUAUUGGAUAGGACAGUGUAGAGACAGGACAGGAAAUGAGUGGGAGAGAGAGACGAGGAGGGAUCGGGAAAUGACCUCAGGUCGGAAUCAAACCCGGGUCCCUGGAUUUAUGGUAUGGCACCUGAGCCACGACGCCCCUUGAGGUUUUGUUUUUGAGUAGUUUUUAUUUCAUCCUCAGUUGGUUCAGCAACACGGUCUGCCUUUUUGUUUUUCUCUACCAUGGUAUACGAGCUGAUAGCCUAGUAGUAGAGUAGCCAAUCAGAGCGCAUGAUUGCUCAUAUCCAGUGAAUGUGGAUAGAAUAUAAACAAGUAUACCUGUACCACCAAGGGAAUACGCCCUAGUUUUUGACGCAAUCCCUUGUGGUGUCAUCAUGCUUUUUUUUUUUAAACAAACCCUUCCUUUAAAACAAAGCAAUUCUAGAUUAUUAAUCUGAUCCUUUACUUGCAAAAUCACAUAUCUAUAAAUCCCAAGUUCUCUAAUUACAGACAAUCUUUUCUAUUUUUCAAAAAAAUAAAUCCCAAUACUUUUCACUCAGUUGAAAAAUCUAAAAAGUGUUAAGGUUAUUUUAAGACUGAAUGUAUGCAAAUACUUUAAACUUUUGUAACAUCCGAGUUCUCUUAUGUAACGCCCUGCACUCUCAGAAAUACAGGUCCAGUAGGAGUCUAUUUCUGUACCCCAAGGUACAAUCUACACAAAUGUACCUCUAGGACUCAUUAUUGGACCUCAAGGUUAGUGCCAAAAAGAUACAUAUAUGUUCCCUUGCAGUAUUUUAAAGAGUACAAAUACACUACCGUUCAAAAGUUUGGGGUCACUUUGAAAUUUCCUUAUUUUUGAAAGAAAAGCACUGUUCUUUUCAAUGAAGAUCACUUUAAACUAAUCAGAAAUACACUCUAUACAUUGCUAAUGAGGGCGGCACGGUGGUGUAGUGGUUAGCGCUGUUACCUCACAGCAAGAAGGUCCGGGUUCGAGCCCCGUGGCUGGCGAGGGCCUUUCUGUGCGGAGUUUGCAUGUUCUCCCCGUGUCCGCGUGGGUUUCCUCCGGGUGCUCCGGUUUCCCCCACAGUCCAAAGACAUGCAGGUUAGGUUAACUGGUGGCUCUAAAUUGAGCGUAGGUGUGAAUGUGAGUGUGAAUGGUUGUCUGUGUCUAUGUGUCAGCCCUGUGAUGACCUGGCGACUUGUCCAGGGUGUACCCCGCCUUUCACCCGUAGUCAGCUGGGAUAGGCUCCAGCUUGCCUGUGACCCUGUAGAACAGGAUAAAGCGGCUAGAGAUAAUGAGAUGAGACAUUGCUAAUGUGGUAAAUGACUAUUCUAGCUGCAAAUGUCUGGUCUUUGGUGCAAUAUCUCCAUAGGUGUAUAGAGGCCCAUUUCCAGCAACUCUCACUCCAGUGUUCUAAUGGUACAAUGUGUUUGCUCAUUGCCUCAGAAGGCUAAUGGAUGAUUAGAAAACCCUUGUACAAUCAUGUUAGCACAGCUGAAAACAGUUGAGCUCUUUAGAGAAGCUAUAAAACUGACCUUCCUUUGAGCAGAUUGACUUUCUGGAGCAUCACAUUUGUGGGGUCGAUUAAAUGCUCAAAAUGGCCAGAAAAAUGUCUUGACUAUAUUUUCUAUUCAUUUUACAACUUAUGGCGGUAAAUAAAAGUGUGACUUUUCAUGGAAAACACAAAAUUGUCUGGGUGACCCCAAACUUUUGAAUGGUAGUGUAUAUGUUCCCUUGCAGUAUUUAAAGAGUACAAAUAAGUACUUUGGAGGAUACUGCCCCAAUGACAAGCCGUUGUGCCCCUAAAGCUACAAUAUUUUCUCAGAAUGUGGUUUUACUGGCUUUGCGUUAUGUUUUCUAUUGUUGUUCCUGUUAUCAAGCCUACUGUAUGAUUUCUAUUUGUCAAUAAAAACGACUUAAAAACUUAA